rnacentral:rRNA from 1 species
GUGUAACGAUCUGGGCACUGUCUCAGCCGUGAGCUCGGUGAAAUUGUAGUAACGGUGAAGAUGCCGUUUACCCGCAACGGGACGGAAAGACCCCGUGAACCUUUACUGCAACUUAGCAUUGAUUUUGGGUAAGUGAUGUGUAGGAUAGGACGGAGACUAUGAAGUGGGUCCGCCAGGAUUCGUGGAGUCAUCCUUGAAAUACGUCCCUUUGCUUGCCUGGAGUCUAAUUCCGCAAUGCGGAAGACAUUGCUUGGUGGGUAGUUUGACUGGGGUGGUCGCCUCCAAAAGCGUAACGGAGGCUCCCAAAGGUACCCUCAUGACGAUUGGUAACCGUCAGCAGAGUGUAAUGGUAUAAGGGUGCUUGACUGCGAGACCGACAAGUCGACCAGGUGGGAAAC